rfam:Bacillus akibai JCM 9157 DNA, contig:contig_4.
UACCUCUUUAAUCUAGUCCUGAGAGACUAAAAAGAGGUUUACACUCCUUAUAAACUAAGGUGAUGUACUCCUCUUUGCUUAAGCAGAGAGGUUUUUUUAU